CACUCCUGCGGGAGGCAGCAGUGGGGAAUAUUGCACAAUGGGCGCAAGCCUGAUGCAGCCAUGCCGCGUGUAUGAAGAAGGCCUUCGGGUUGUAAAGUACUUUCAGCGGGGAGGAAGGCGAUAAGGUUAAUAACCUUGUUGAUUGACGUUACCCGCAGAAGAAGCACCUGCUAACUCCGUGCCAGCAGCCGCGGUAAUACGGAGGGUGCAAGCGUUAAUCGGAAUUACUGGGCGUAAAGCGCACGCAGGCGGUCUGUCAAGUCGGAUGUGAAAUCCCCGGGCUCAACCUGGGAACUGCAUUCGAAACUGGCAGGCUAGAGUCUUGUAGAGGGGGGUAGAAUUCCAGGUGUAGCGGUGAAAUGCGUAGAGAUCUGGAGGAAUACCGGUGGCGAAGGCGGCCCCCUGGACAAAGACUGACGCUCAGGUGCGAAAGCGUGGGGAGCAAACAGGAUUAGAUACCCUAGUAGUCCCAUG
rnacentral:rRNA from 1 species